UAAACAAAUAUUUGUUUAUUAUUGUUUUUAAAAUAAAGACAUGAUCUACAGUUCUGUAAUUUUUUUCUAAAACCACCUUGAUUUGAAAAUAAUAAAUUAUGUGUUUCAAGAAAAUCACCAAGUCGUUUUUGUAAAAUGGAUGUAAAGACUUUACCAAGACAGCUUGUUAUGCUUAUACCUCUAUAGUUCCCACAAUCAGAUGGGUCACCAGAUUUAUAAAUUGAUGUCAAUAGAGAAAUGUUCCAAAUUUUGGGGAAUUUUUCUGAGUUAAGUAUCUUAUUAAAAAGUUUGGUCAAAAGUAAAACUAGAGUGUUUGACCACACCUUUAGAAAUUCAUUAAUUAUCAAAUCAGGACCUCCAGAUUUUCCCUUUUUUAACUUCUUAAUACAGUCUUUGAUUUCUUUACGUGUAAUAGGGACAUUAAGGGAUGUAUUAGAAAAGUUGUGAUUUUUGUUCUCUAUAUUUUGAUUUGUAUCAGUUGUAUCAUUAUUACUUGAAGCAAGCAAAUUUCUAUAGUGAAUCUCCCAUUCUUUGGCAGAAAUAGCAGGCUCACAAUUAUUAUUCUUUUUUUUGUAAUUAUUAAUGCUUCCCCAAAAUUUUUUGGUGUUCUUUGGGUUUAUCUCAUUUAUUUGUUUUAUUAAGGAAUGAAAAAAAUACUUUUUUAAUUUAUUUUUCAAUUUAUUGUACUCUCUUUUACAGUUGCAAUAAGUCAAUCAUAAUUACCGGUAGGGGCUUUACCUAAUUUAUUUCCAAGGGAACGCACUUUUCUAAGGAGUAAGCAAUCAUUUGACAUCCAUACUUUUUUUUAGGUUUUUCUUUUUUUUGUGUGUCUUUGCAAUAUGGAUUUUUAAAAAUUGCUUUAGGGAGCUACCAUUUGAUUUUUAGGGGGGGGGGGGGCUAGGAUGAAAUUUGAAAAAAAAGGCAGGACAGGAUUUUGAGUAAAAAAAAAAGGCAGGAUGAGUAACUUGGCAAAAAAAAAUGGCAGGAUGACAAUUAUUGUAAAAAAGUCAGGAUAAGCUAAGAAAUAAAAAAGGCAGGACCAAAUAGACUGAAAAAUAAAAAUACAG
rnacentral:lncRNA from 1 species